AGCGAACGCUGGCGGCAGGCUUAACACAUGCAAGUCGAGCGGGCACUUUCGGGUGUCAGCGGCGGACGGGUGGGUAACGCGUGGGAACGUGCCCUCUGGUUCGGAAUAACUCAGGGAAACUUGAGCUAAUACCGGAUACGCCCUUUUGGGGAAAGUCGUGCUGCCGGAGGAUCGGCCCGCGUCUGAUUUGAUAGUUGGUGAGGUAACGGCUCACCAAGGCGACGAUCAGUAGCUGGUCUGAGAGGAUGAUCAGCCACACUGGCACUGAGACACGGCCCAGACUCCUACGGGAGGCAGCAGUGGGGAAUAUUGGACAAUGGGCGCAAGCCUGAUCCAGCCAUGCCGCGUGAGUGAUGAAGGCCUUAGGGUUGUAAAGCUCUUUUAUCCGGGACGAUAAUGACGGUACCGGAGGAAUAAGCCCCGGCUAACUUCGUG
rnacentral:rRNA from 1 species